AGCAUGCGCAGCAGCAGCUCCCCGGGGAAGGCCAGGUAGGCCACCUGCGCCGGGCCGAGCUCCGCGCCGCGCACCGCGGCCCCCAGCGCCACGCCGGCCACCACCCCAGACACGCCUCGCGGAUAGACCUGAAGAUCCUUAUUGGGAUCUGUCAUCACAACCGAGUCCAGCACCGCACCAAACCCUGUGUGACUUACCCAAAAGACCAUUGAAAAUCGUCUUUGUGUGCCCUGCUCCUUGCUGCUUUGUAAAGCCCGGUGGAAAAAAAGCAACAUGGUGCUGCUCUUUGCCUUCAGCUGAGGCAAAAAGAAUGUUCUGUUGGCUUUCAUAAUGCCCACGAUUAAUAAUAUUCACUGAUUAUCUGAAUAAUACUCAUUUUUAUUAUCAAACUGAAAAGCUGGAGGAGAAAUUCGCAGAAGUGUAAGCAGGAAGAACAUAUGAAAUGGGAAAACCCAUCUGUUGUAGCACACGGUGACAAGACUUUCGCCAGGCAGAAAACAAGACAGCAUUUGAUCCUCCCAACAUAUGAACCAACAUCAUCCCUCCCCACAAGGAAAAACAAACCAAAGAAGUUCCAGGCAGAACUAACAGCAUUUCUGCUUUCUUGUGAGAGUUCAUGGAUGGCUGCAGCGAUUUAUUCAGUAGUUAAGUGCUGACCGAUCUGAUUUGUCAUGUUUUCAUUUCAGCACUUGUAGGUAUUGGUAGCUUUCCAGUGAAUGAGUUUGCAUGGGUCCAGUGUCCACCCUCCCUGGUGCUUCUAAGUUAGGAUUUCUGACUUCCCAUAUUGGGACUAGGAGAAUUUUUUUGGCCUUGGAAAGCUUUCACCUGCACCAGGCCAGAGCCCUUCCUCCUGUAAGCAUCAGAGGGAUCGUAAGUAGGCAAAAACAAAUAGGCAAACAAGCAGUUCAUUCUAAGCAAAACCAAAUUUCCUUUGCUAUGAGUGAGGAGAGCCAACAUAGUUUUCAACACUGGCCCAGGAGUGAAGUCCUGCUGUUCUUUAGUCAGUUUCUGCCUGAUAACAUUUUUUGAUGAUGAUUAUUUCAAAUCCCAGCCUCACUAGAGGGAACAAACAAAAACCCAGCGGCUGCAGGAGAAUCAACUCCUCCUCUUCCAUUUUUUAGCUCCAAGCAAGCAGGGAACAGGAUUUAUUUUGAACCCUUUCCCUCAAAAAUAAAUAAAUAAAUAAACAAAUAAAUAAAUAAAAUCCUCCCUUGAUAAGGAAGUUGGUACAGAAACUCCCUGAUAAAAGAUUUCCAGUUCCUUUUUCUUCCUUCUCAUCCACUCCCAGUAUUAAUGUUCCCCACAGUCUCGCUGCACAUCAGUGGGAUGGACAUUUAGGAUGGGAUUUAUGUGAUCUAGAAGUUCAAUUCCUACACCAGGCAAAUCUUGCUUUUUCCACUGUUAACUGUCCCUUCUGAAAGAGGCAGAUGAGAUACAGUUUCCAUGGAGGUAUCUGAGUACAGACAAGUCCUAGAAGAUGAGCUUAGGAUUCCUCCUUAGGAUAUUUUUUGCCAGCCCCUCACAACUGACAUCAAUACUGUAGACUUUUUUUUCUCCCCUCUGUACAUUCAUCCCUCCUUACACACCCAACAUGAGCUUUUUCCAUGGAUUUACUAUAUAUUAUCUAUCUGUCUUGCAUAUGUUAGGUGUUAUCACGUGCUACCACAAAGCACGCACAUACUGCACCACAAGUAACAGAUCCUUUUGAGAGAGCAAAGUACACAGAGUGAAGAAGUGGUUACUAGACCCUUAGGGCUUCAUGUCCUUUGAUGGUGACAGAAGGCCUGGUGGAUAUACUUCUUCCAUCUCAUAGAGUUACAUCAAUAUAUUCCAAAUCGUUUGCAGAAAAAAUCUUCAGUGGCAUUGGUUUUAGAGGGUGGAGAAGCCUGUAAGAAACUGAGGAGAAAGCUUCAUGGAGGAGAAACUUCUCCAUACCUGAGGAAGGCUGAUAGAAAGUCUGAAAGAAUUUUCUUUGCUAGAAGAGGAAGCAAAUGAAAGAUGAGGAAGAGUUGUUUGCAGCAUCUUGAGCCUUGUGGUUGCUACAUGCCUCCUUGGCACCCCACGGCCACCCUUGGGCCAUGUUUCCUACAAUGCAGUGUGCCAGCUGUGUGCAAAGAACACUAAUCCACUAAUCGUGCCACCUCCGCUUCCUUCUUUUCUCCUGCAGGCAGGUAUCUCCCUCCGUGUAUGGCCAGCAAGAUUGUUGGCAGCCCUCAGAUCUUUCCUGGGUAGGAGAAAUCUUUAGCUGCACAGAUGUGGCUGCUGUUUAACCUCUGCCCUUCUGGGACCUAACAGAAACAUGUCUCCAUGGGAUUAGAACUGUGUCAUCAGUUCAGUCCCUGAGACUGCUUUGAUUUGAAGUAGUUUGAAGACCAAUGCCUCGAAGUCAUGGUGGGCGGAGGAAGGAGGGAGAUGAAAGGGAAGAGGGCAGGAAGGAGUUGCUGGUAUAUUUUUGUUUUUUGAUUGAAGCUUGAAUAUAGGUGCCCUGAAACAUCCCAGCUGAGAUGUUCUGGGCAGUUCGCAGUGUCCCAAGGGGCCAUGUAACAGAGCAGCCUUUUUCUUAGAAGCACGCAUUAAAAGCAUGUGGGAGAGAGUAUGUUGUCCACGAGUCCUCAGUAGAGCUGUUACGGCUGGCUGAGGCAGGAAGGCCUUGAGCACUGCCUUGAUAUGCAGACUUCAGCUUGGCAAGAAGACAUUGUUGAGCCAGGGCUGCUGAGCAAUUUAUAGUCCACCUCUUGGUUAUGCCAGGUCCUGAGACUGCUCCUCAGAUCCCUCUGCACAUAGGUUAGGUUGCUGCCUACCAACUGAGAUAACCCAGUCCCAGAUGUAAGCCUAUCCAUCACAUACGGAUUCACUGUCUUCCCAGGCUGGGUAAGAUCUCAGACCUGAUAGAAAAUAUUCUGUGUGGGAAAAGAAACAGGCUUUUGUGAGUCCAUCUUCCAAUAGCGGGGGCAGGCAGAGAAUUGUGCACACACUGCUUACUUGCCUAAACUCCAACAAAGCAUAAACUCUGCAGAUAGGGGUGGUUGAGCUAGGGUAAAUAUUUAACUUUAUUUUCCAAAGGCACAUGCAGCUUUACCAACAAGAAGAUGAAAAGUAUAGAAUAGCACCCUCACAUGUACAUGACCUUGUUUAUUACAAGACUUCUUUUGAAUGGUCUGGAAAUAAAGAAGUAUUGAACCAGGAGUAAACUUAA